AGGGAUCCUGCACGCAGCUCCAGGUGGGGAACCCCAGGGACCCCCACAUCUUCCCAGGGACCCAAGCGUUCGUUUGGCAGAAUUGAAAUUAGUCCUUGACAACAGGUUCUGCUGUGGGGCCGGCUCUAAAGCUGUCAUCCUCCUACCUGAAGUGGGCCUGCCGCCAGGAAAAGCCAAACCACAGACAUCUGGAGACGGACCCUGGGUUUUGCCAUGUAAAGGGCUGAGGGAAAUUUCGGGAUCCUGCACUUUUUUCUGGGCUGAAAACUUUGAGGAUGAAUGUCUGUUGGCAGCUUGGAGGGAAUCCCAGAGAACUGAAGAAAUGUCGCGACACCAUGGCUCUUAUGGGACAGAAGUUAAUGU